UUUCUCAUCACGAUAAUAGAAAAUCUAGUGCUCAUACUCACGAUCUAAUGAACAUACAGCCAUACAAAGGAUGUCUUAAAGAGGUAUGCCUCCACUGACAAAGUGAAUUAAGUUGCCUACUCGAAAAGCAACUUUGCAAGGAAGCAAGUUUACUACCCACUGAAAUGUUCCCUUGGUACUUGAUGGGAUUAUGUAAUGAAACUGUCAGUAUUACAAUAUGAUAAAGAUAUUCCUGAUGGCGAUGAGUGAUGACUAACUUUCAAAACUACAAGAUGAACCCCUUCCACUUCUAGAAUGUGAAGAAUGCUGCCAUAUUACUGGCCCAUAUGAUCAUCAUGACAACUGUCUACCGUUGUCUACCCCGAUACAAGGAAAAUUGCAAAUGUGUUGCUAAGCUUAAUAUUAGAUGACUAGAAGCAGUUAGUAGAAUAAAAAAAUGGUUCCUGAGUUUUACAAUGGCCGACUAACUUUUGAUGACUGAUGAAGAGGACUAUGCCAGCAAAAGACAGACAACAGAUGUACUUCGAAUAGCAAUAUGACUAAAGCACUACCUUACAUUAUUAAGACUAGAAUACUGAAUACGAUUAAAAUUUAAGUUAUAAAAUAAUAAUGUG